ACGGGACACCUGCAUCUGCCAACAAGACUGGAAGCAGAAAGGGACAGAGACGGCGAAGUUUGACGGUCUGGAAAGCAGAGACCAGCAGGGCUGACUGCUUGGGAGCACCAAAUAUCCGGACAGCGCCUCUCGGGAGGUCCGAGAAGAGAACCGCGAUCUGUUUCAGCACCGGGGCUCAGGACAGUUCCCAGCGGGCUCCGUUUCGUCUCCAGAACCCUGGACAGCUCCUCCAGUAGAGACGGGGUUUCACCAUGUUGGCCAGGCUGGUCUCAAACUCUUGACCUCUUCAUCCGUCCACCUCAGCCUCCCAAAGUGCUAGGAUUACAGGCGUGAGUCACUGCGCCUGGCCCAAGUCCGGAAUUUUCAACAGGACAUGGGUGUUACUGUGCCCAUGUGACAUUUGGGGAACCCAAGGCCCUGAGAAAGGCAGAAAAAUAACCCACGCAGGGACUCUCAGCCCACAAGUGAAGCUGAGAACCGGGAAUGGAAAACAGGGAGGCAGCACAGAGGCAGGAAACUCAGGUGUCAUAGCUUGGCUCAGCUUGGAAUGCACUCCCUCCACCUCCAACCAGAGCUCCCCACAACUGACCCUGCCUUCUUCUGCAAGCUCCAUUUCAUCAAGGGAAACGAUCCUUAUUGCCUCACCAUUUCCCACGUGAAGUCUGUAUUGACAUUCUCAUAGACCUGGGAUAUUGUGUCUGCAGCACAUAGUCCAAUUAUUUUCAUGUUAUCUACUGACAGGUCUAUUUGUCUCCCUGUUACACUGUGAGCUCCGUGAGGGCAGAAACAAUGUUAGUAUUUUCACUGCUGUGUCCCCAGCGCCUGGUCCGGGGCCCGGCACACAGCAGGCAUAUAAUAAGCAUGUGUUGAAUCAAUAAAGGCAUCAAAGAAUAAACCAAUACAUCAAUCAAUAAA
rnacentral:lncRNA from 1 species